AGAGUUUGAUCCUGGCUCAGAUUGAACGCUGGCGGCAGGCCUAACACAUGCAAGUCGAACGGUAACAUUUCUAGCUUGCUAGAAGAUGACGAGUGGCGGACGGGUGAGUAAUGCUUGGGAACUUGCCUUUGCGAGGGGGAUAACAGCUGGAAACGACUGCUAAUACCGCAUAAUGUCUACGGACCAAAGGGGGCUUCGGCUCUCGCGUGAAGAGAGGCCCAAGUGAGAUUAGCUAGUUGGUAAGGUAACGGCUUACCAAGGCGACGAUCUCUAGCUGUUCUGAGAGGAAGAUCAGCCACACUGGGACUGAGACACGGCCCAGACUCCUACGGGAGGCAGCAGUGGGGAAUAUUGCACAAUGGGGGGAACCCUGAUGCAGCCAUGCCGCGUGUGUGAAGAAGGCCCUCGGGUUGUAAAGCACUUUCAGUUGUGAGGAAAGGUUGGUAGUUAAUACCUGCCAGCUGUGACGUUAACAACAGAAGAAGCACCGGCUAACUCCGUGCCAGCAGCCGCGGUAAUACGGAGGGUGCGAGCGUUAAUCGGAAUUACUGGGCGUAAAGCGGACGCAGGCGGUUUGUUAAGCUAGAUGUGAAAGCCCCGGGCUCAACCUGGGAUGGUCAUUUAGAACUGGCAGACUAGAGUCUCGGAGAGGGGAGUGGAAUUCCAGGUGUAGCGGUGAAAUGCGUAGAUAUCUGGAGGAACAUCAGUGGCGAAGGCGGCUCCCUGGCCAAAGACUGACGCUCAUGUCCGAAAGUGUGGGUAGCGAACAGGAUUAGAUACCCUGGUAGUCCACACCGUAAACGCUGUCUACUAGCUGUUUGUGUAUUUAAUACGUGAGUAGCGAAGCUAACGCGCUAAGUAGACCGCCUGGGGAGUACGGCCGCAAGGUUAAAACUCAAAGGAAUUGACGG
rnacentral:rRNA from 1 species